GAUGAACGCUGGCGGCGUGCUUAACACAUGCAAGUCGAGCGAGUGAGUUCUUCGGAACAAUCUAGCGGCGGACGGGUGAGUAACACGUGGGCAACCUGCCUCAUAGAGGGGAAUAGCCUCCCGAAAGGGAGAUUAAUACCGCAUAAAAUUAUCGAGUGGCAUCACAUGAUAAUCAAAGGAGUAAUCCGCUAUGAGAUGGGCCCGCGGCGCAUAAGCUAGUUGGUGAGGUAACGGCUCACCAAGGCGACGAUGCGUAGCCGACCUGAGAGGGUGAUCGGCCACAUUGGGACUGAGACACGGCCCAGACUCCUACGGGAGGCAGCAGUGGGGGAUAUUGCACAAUGGGGGAAACCCUGAUGCAGCAACGCCGCGUGAGUGAUGAAGGUCUUCGGAUUGUAAAGCUCUGUCUUUGGGGACGAUAAUGACGGUACCCAAGGAGGGAGCCACGGCUAACUACGUGCCAGCAGCCGCAGUAA
rnacentral:rRNA from 1 species